rnacentral:rRNA from 1 species
UGUAAGCGUAUACCAAAGUUGUUGCAGUUAAAACGCUCGUAGUCGGACUUUGGCAGUUCCGGAUGUGUGCACGUCGUGUGCGCACUUCGCGGGGAUUGCUUUUGUGGUCUUGCGUAGGAUGAGGCACUUUUAUUAGUGAACGUCCUCACGCAACCACUUUUUACUGUGAGAAAACCAGAGUGCUCAAAGCAGGCAUUUGCCGUGAAUGUAUUAGCAUGGAAUAAUAGAAUAGGACUUGGUUCUAUUUUGUUGGUUUGUUGGGACUGAGUAAUGAUUAAGAGGGACAGUUGGGGGCAUUUGUAUUUCGGUGCUAGAGGUGAAAUUCUUAGAUUACCGAAAGACAAACUGCUGCGAAAGCGUCUGCCAAGGAUGUUUUCAUUGA